AGUGAACGCUGGCGGUAGGCCUAACACAUGCAAGUCGAACGGCAGCACAGUAAGAGCUUGCUCUUACGGGUGGCGAGUGGCGGACGGGUGAGGAAUAUAUCGGAAUCUACUUUUUCGUGGGGGAUAACGUAGGGAAACUUACGCUCAUACCGCAUACGCCCUACGGGUGAAAGCAUGGGAUCUUCGGACCUUGCGCGAUUGAACGAGCCGAUGACGUAUUUGCUAGUUGGCGGGGUAAAGGCCCAGCAGGGCGACGAUCCGUAGCUGGUGUGAGAGGAGGGUCGGCCGCACUGGAAGUGAGACGCGGUCCAGGCGCCUGCGGUAGGCAGCAGUGGGGUAUGUUAGGCAAUGGGCGCGAGCCUGGUCCAGCGAUACCGCGUGGGUGGAGGAGGCCUUCGGGUUGUAAAGCCCGUUUGUGGGGAGAGAAAAGCAGCAGGUUGAUACCCAGCGGUUCUGACGGUACCCAGAGAAUAAGCACCGGCUAACUUCGUG
rnacentral:rRNA from 1 species